GACAGAGGUCCCGAGCGUUAGGCGGAAUCACUGGGCUUAAAGCGUGUGUAGGCGGAUCGUUAAGUGCCUUGUGAAAUCCCACGGCUUAACCGUGGAGCUGCUUGGCAUACUGGCGGUCUUGAGCCACUUAGGGGCAACCGGAACAAAUGGUGGAGCGGUGAAAUGCGUAGAUAUCUGGAGGAAUACCGGUGGCGAAGGCGGCAUCCUGGACCAUAACUGACGCUGAGGCGCGAAAGCUAGGGGAGCAAACGGG
rnacentral:rRNA from 1 species